CCUUACGUCAUUAUUGUGCGUCUUUACAUGAAAAACAUCCGUUUUGUCCACAUUCUAGUGUGAGCGGAUGUUAAGUUAACGUGAGACAUUGCACCUUUAAAACAAAACGCAAAAAGUAAAGGUCCGAUUAAGGGAAAAUACUUUAAUAACAAAUGUGCACAAGGUGGUUUAACACACAACGCCACAAGGAAAAGAACAUGGGUGCCGGAUAACAAAGUUUUUGAUGGUAGUUUAAAAGAGGGUCAGGGAUUUGCCUUCAAAAGGAAGGAGAAGAUAAAACAUGAAUAUAACAAACUUCUCUGAAAAGAGGAAGAAAAUGCAACCAUCACCAAUCCAGUUAGAGGAGGAAUAUCCCGAGCAUCUGAGACAUCUGUACCUGGCUGAAAAAGAACGACUAGAUGAAGAAGAACAAGAAAAAAAGAUGUAAAGGUAGAUCAGUAGAUGAAGAGACAGAAGCAGAUGAACUAAAAAUUGUUGGAAUCUCCAUUCACUGAGAAACACAUCUCAAACACAGCAAUUAACCAAAUCACUGGCUCUGAUUCAGCUAAUGAACCAGCAGAGUCUGACAGGAAGCAGAGAAUGUCAUCGUAUCAGAAGACAAAACUAGAAUUUGAAAGUAUGGAGGAACAUGCACGAAAAAGAGAGGAAUUUUUGAAAGACAAAGCUCAGCGAGAGGAGGCUCUUAAGAAAUAUAAGGAAAAGAAAAUAGCAACAUAUCAGUUGUUG